rnacentral:rRNA from 1 species
UACAUAGGUCGCAAACGUUAUCCGGAAUUAUUGGGCGUAAAGGAUGCGUAGAUGGUUCUGUAAGUUACUGGUGGGAAAUCGAGGCCCAACCUCGUGGAAGUUAGUAAUACUGUUGAACUUGAGUGCAGGAGAGGUUAACGGAACUUCAUGUGGAGCGGUAAAAUGCGUAGAUAUAUGAAAGAACAUCAAUAUAGCGAAGGCAGUUAACUAUUCUGCUACUGACAUUGAGGCAUGAAAGCGUGGGGAGCAAAACGG